CUCUUGGGUUGUAAACCUCUUUUCUCAGGGAAUAAUAAGUUGAAGGUACCUGAGGAAUAAGCAUCGGCUAACUCCGUGCCAGCAGCCGCGGUAAUACGGAGGAUGCAAGCGUUAUCCGGAAUGAUUGGGCGUAAAGGGUCCGCAGGUGGUUUAUCAAGUCUGUUGUCAAAGAAUCUGGCUCAACUAGAUAAAGGCAAUGGAAACUGAGAGACUAGAGUGCAGUAGGGGUAGAGGGAAUUCCCAGUGUAGCGGUGAAAUGCGUAGAGAUUGGGAAGAACACCGGUGGCGAAAGCGCUCUGCUGGACUGCAACUGACACUGAGGGACGAAAGCUAGGGGAGCGAAUGGGAUUAGAUACCCCCAGUAGUCA
rnacentral:rRNA from 1 species